rnacentral:rRNA from 1 species
UACAGAGGGUGCAAGCGUUGUUCGGAAUUAUUGGGCGUAAAGCGCGUGUAGGCGGCCGCGCAAGUCGGGUGUGAAAGCCCUCAGCUCAACUGAGGAAGUGCGCCCGAAACUGCAUGGCUUGAGUACCGGAGAGGAUGGCGGAAUUCCCGAAGUAGAGGUGAAAUUCGUAGAUAUCGGGAGGAACACCGGUGGCGAAGGCGGCCAUCUGGACGGAUACUGACGCUGAGACGCGAAAGCGUGGGUAGCAAACAGGAUUAGAUACCCGAGUAGUCC